AGGACGAACGCUGGCGGCGUGCUUAACACAUGCAAGUCGAGCGAGGUCCCGCCUUCGGGUGGGUGUCCUAGCGGCGAACGGGUGAGUAACACGUGGGCAACCUGCCCUCAGCUCUGGGAUAACUCCAAGAAAUUGGGGCUAAUACCGGAUAUGACCGCUGACCGCAUGGUCUGGUGGUGGAAAGAUUUAUCGGCUGGGGAUGGGCCCGCGGCCUAUCAGCUUGUUGGUGGGUAGUGGCCUACCAAGGCGACGACGGGUAGCCGGCCUGAGAGGGUGACCGGCCACACUGGGACUGAGACACGGCCCAGACUCCUACGGGAGGCAGCAGUGGGGAAUAUUGCGCAAUGGGACGAAGCCUGACGCAGCGACGCCGCGGUGGGAUGACGGCCGUUCGGUUAGUAACCUCUUUCGAACGAGGACGAAGCGCAAGUGACGUACCUGACAGAAGAGCACCGACAACGUACGUCGCCGAGCCGAGCCGACGGUAACUCGUAGACGGCGGACGUGGACGAAGGCGACG
rnacentral:rRNA from 1 species